AUUGAACGCUGGCGGCAUGCCUUACACAUGCAAGUCGAACGGCAGCACGGGAGCAAUCCUGGUGGCGAGUGGCGAACGGGUGAGUAAUAUAUCGGAACGUGCCCAGUAAUGGGGGAUAGCCCGGCGAAAGCCGGAUUAAUACCGCAUACGACCUACGGGUGAAAGCGGGGGAUCGCAAGACCUCGCGUUAUUGGAGCGGCCGAUAUCAGAUUAGGUUGUUGGUGGGGUAAAAGCCCACCAAGCCGACGAUCUGUAGCUGGUCUGAGAGGACGACCAGCCACACUGGGCAUGAGACACGGCCCAGACUCCUACGGGAGGCAGCAGUGGGGAAUUUUGGACAAUGGGCGCAAGCCUGAUCCAGCCAUGCCGCGUGUGGGAAGAAGGCCUUCGGGUUGUAAACCACUUUUGUCAGGGAAGAAACGGCUUUUUCUAAUAAAGAGAGCUAAUGACGGUACCUGAAGAAUAAGCACCGGCUAACUACGUGCCAGCCGCCGCGGUAAUAC
rnacentral:rRNA from 1 species